rnacentral:rRNA from 1 species
GACGAACGCUGGCGGCGUGCUUAACACAUGCAAGUCGAACGAAGAGCGAUGGAAGCUUGCUUCUAUCAAUCUUAGUGGCGAACGGGUGAGUAACGCGUAAUCAACCUGCCCUUCAGAGGGGGACAACAGUUGGAAACGACUGCUAAUACUGCAUACGAUCUAAUCUCGGCAUCGAGGAUAGAUGAAAGGUGGCCUCUACAUGUAAGCUAUCACUGAAGGAGGGGAUUGCGUCUGAUUAGCUAGUUGGAGGGGUAACGGCCCACCAAGGCGAUGAUCAGUAGCCGGUCUGAGAGGAUGAACGGCCACAUUGGGACUGAGACACGGCCCAGACUCCUACGGGAGGCAGCAGUGGGGAAUCUUCCGCAAUGGACGAAAGUCUGACGGAGCAACGCCGCGUGAGUGAUGACGGCCUUCGGGUUGUAAAGCUCUGUUAAUCGGGACGAAAGGCCUUCUUGCGAAUAGUGAGAAGGAUUGACGGUACCGGAAUAGAAAGCCACGGCUAACUACGUG